UUUUCUGAGAUCAGCAAACAACUCUCCUCUCCUCCUUCCUAAACCACCCCCUUCCCACUCACCCCCCCCAACCCCCGCCCAUGCUACGCUGUGGAGAAGGAGGAAGUUUUGAGUAGGCAUCCAAAGUCAACAGGGCGCAGUGAGAAGCACUUAUACUGAGUGACCUGGGAUACAUAGACACCCUUAUGGAUCCUUGACAUCUGUGCUCCAUUGCUCCAAAAGCCAGCAGGAGUCUCAAGGGGAGAAACACGAAACCUCAUGAAACUCUAUGCAGGAAAACACCUGACCAGAAGACAAGGUUAUUGUCAGGUCCAGAGGAAACCCCACUUCCCCAAAUUCCAAAAGGCAGCAUCCAGAAAUGACCGUCUUGACUCAGGGUCUGCUGAAGUAUAGGAUUACUGAAGGAUACUGCCAGCGUUCCUGAGGAACCCAUGAAAGAGUUUCUGUCCACCAGAAAGAGGGCCAGAUAUGGAUCUCCUGCA
ensembl:antisense Gm15848 predicted gene 15848